GUUUGACACGGUCCGACGGUGGCAAGUCUUGCCCCUUCAUUUGGCCGUGGUGCGAUGAC
rnacentral:ncRNA from 1 species